GGGGAUGAGCUGUGGUUCAGUGGUGGAGCAUCUGCUUUGUAUGCAGAAGAUCCCAGAUUCAAUUUCCAGCAUCUCCA